rnacentral:rRNA from 1 species
GCUCAAAUUUGAAAUCUGGCUCUCGGGCCCGAGUUGUAAUUUGUAGAGGAUGCUUUUGAUGCGGUGCCUUCCGAGUUCCCUGGAACGGGACGCCAUAGAGGGUGAGAGCCCCGUCUGGUUGGAUGCCAAAUCUCUGUAAAGCUCCUUCGACGAGUCGAGUAGUUUGGGAAUGCUGCUCUAAAUGGGAGGUAUAUGUCUUCUAAAGCUAAAUACCGGCCAGAGACCGAUAGCGCACAAGUAGAGUGAUCGAAAGAUGAAAAGCACUUUGAAAAGAGAGUUAAAAAGUACGUGAAAUUGUUGAAAGGGAAGCGUUUAUGACCAGACUUGGGCUUGGUUAAUCAUCUGGGGUUCUCCCCAGUGCACUUUUCCAGUCCAGGCCAGCAUCAGUUUUCGCCGGGGGAUAAAGGCUUCGGGAAUGUGGCUCUCUCCGGGGAGUGUUAUAGCCCGUUGCGUAAUACCCUGGCGGGGACUGAGGUUCGCGCAUCUGCAAGGAUGCUGGCGUAAUGGUCAUCAACGACCCGUCUUGAAACACGGACCAAGGAGUCGUCUUCGUAUGCGAGUGUUCGGGUGUCAAACCCCUACGCGUAAUGAAAGUGAACGCAGGUGAGAGCUUCGGCGCAUCAUCGACCGAUCCUGAUGUUCUCGGAUGGAUUUGAGUAAGAGCAUACGGGGCCGGACCCGAAAGAAGGUGAACUAUGCCUGUGUAGGGUGAAGCCAGAGGAAACUCUGGUGGAGGCUCGCAGCGGUUCUGACGUGCAAAUCGAUCGUCAAACAUGGGCAUGGGGGCGAAAGACUAAUCGAACCUUCUAGUAGCUGGUUUCCGCCGAAGUUUCCCUCAGGAUAGCAGUGUUGAACUCAGUUUUAUGAGGUAAAGCGAAUGAUUAGGGACUCGGGGGCGCUAUUUAGCCUUCAUCCAUUCUCAAACUUUAAAUAUGUAAGAAGC